UACGUAGGGUGCAAGCGUUGUCCGGAAUUAUUGGGCGUAAAGAGCUCGUAGGCGGUUUGUCGCGUCUGCUGUGAAAUCCCGAGGCUCAACCUCGGGCCUGCAGUGGGUACGGGGCAGACUAGAGUGCGGUAGGGGAGAUUGGAAUUCCUGGUGUAGCGGUGGAAUGCGCAGAUAUCAGGAGGAACACCGAUGGCGAAGGCAGAUCUCUGGGCCGUAACUGACGCUGAGGAGCGAAAGCGUGGGGAGCGAACAGG
rnacentral:rRNA from 1 species